CUAGCUAUAGACGACCGUACCGCAAACCGACACUGGUGCGCGAGAUGAGUAUUCUAAGGCGCUUGAGAGAACUCUGGAGAAGGAACUCGGCAAAUUGACACCGUAACUUCGGAAGAAGGUGUGCCUUUAGUAGGUGAACCAUUUACUUGGCGAGCCCAAUGAGGUUGCAAGAAAUCGGUGGCUGCGACUGUUUAUUAAAAACACAGCACUCUGCAAAGACGAAAGUCGACGUAUAGGGUGUGACGCCUGCCCGGUGCUGGAAGAUAAAAUGAUGGGGUGCAAGCUCUUGAUUGAAGUCCCAGUAAACGGCGGCCGUAACAAUAACGGUCCUAAGGUAGCGAAAUUCCUUGUCGGGUAAGUUCCGACCUGCACGAAUGGCGUAACGAUGGCCACACUGUCUCCUCCAGAGACUCAGCGAAGUUGAAAUGUUUGUGAUGAUGCAAUCUCCCCGCGGAAAGACGGAAAGACCCCAUGAACCUUUACUGUAGCUUUACAUUGGACUUUGAACAGAUCUGUGUAGGAUAGGUGGGAGGCUUUGAAGCGGUGCCGCUAGGUGUCGUGGAGCCAACCUUGAAAUACCACCCUGGUGUGUUUGAGGUUCUAACCUUGACCCGUUAUCCGGGUUGGGGACAGUGUAUGGUGGGCAGUUUGACUGGGGCGGUCUCCUCCUAAAGCGUAACGGAGGAGUUCGAAGGUACGCUAGGCACGGUCGGAAAUCGUGCUGAUAGUGCAUAGGCAUAAGCGUGCUUGACUGCGAGACUGACAAGUCGAGCAGGUACGAAAGUAGGACUAAGUGAUCCGGUGGUUCUGUAUGGAAGGGCCAUCGCUCAACGGAUAAAAGGUACUCUGGGGAUAACAGGCUGAUACCGCCCAAGAGUUCAUAUCGACGGCGGUGUUUGGCACCUCGAUGUCGGCUCAUCUCAUCCUGGGGCUGUAGCCGGUCCCAAGGGUAUGGCUGUUCGCCAUUUAAAGAGGUACGUGAGCUGGGUUUAAAACGUCGUGAGACAGUUUGGUCCCUAUCUUCCGUGGGCGCUGCAAGAUUGAGAGAGCCUGCUCCUAGUACGAGAGGACCGGAGUGGACGCACCUCUGGUGUAUCGGUUGUCACGCCAGUGGCAUUGCCGAGUAGCUAAGUGCGGAAGAGAUAACCGCUGAAAGCAUCUAAGCGGGAAACUCGUCUCAAGAUGAGUCUUGCCGGGGCCUUGAGCCCCCUGAAGAGUCGUUCGAGACCAGGACGUUGAUAGGCCGGGUGUGGAAGCGCAGUAAUGCGUUGAGCUAACCGGUACUAAUUGCUCGUGCGGCUUGACCCU
rnacentral:rRNA from 1 species